rnacentral:rRNA from 1 species
CAGCAGCCACGGGAAUACGAAGGGGGCUAGCGUUGUUCGGAAUUACUGGGCGUAAAGCGCACGUAGGCGGAUAUUUAAGUCAGGGGUGAAAUCCCGCAGCUCAACUGCGGAACUGCCUUUGAUACUGGGUAUCUUGAGUAUGGAAGAGGUUAGUGGAAUUGCGAGUGUAGAGGUGAAAUUCGUAGAUAUUCGCAGGAACACCAGUGGCGAAGGCGGCUAACUGGUCCAUAACUGACGCUGAGGUGCGAAAGCGUGGGGAGCAAACAGGAUUAGAUACCCGAGUAGUCCCUGUCUCUUAUAA